GAUGAACGCUAGCUACAGGCUUAACACAUGCAAGUCGCGGGGCAUCAUGGAGGUUGCUUGCAAUUUCUGAUGGCGACCGGCGCACGGGUGAGUAACGCGUAUCCAACCUUCCCAUUACUACGGCAUACCCCGUUGAAAGGCGGCCUAAUUCCGUAUGCAGUCCGAAGCAGUCAUCUAAUUUGGACGAAAGGUAUAUUCUAUCGGUAAUGGAUGGGGAUGCGUCCGAUUAGCCAGCCGGCGGGGUAACGGCCCACCGGGGCAUUGAUCGGUAGGGGUUCUGAGAGGAAGGUCCCCCACACUGGAACUGAGACACGGUCCAGACUCCUACGGGAGGCAGCAGUGAGGAAUAUUGGUCAAUGGGCGUAAGCCUGAACCAGCCAAGUAGCGUGCAGGAUGACGGCCCUAUGGGUUGUAAACUGCUUUUAUGCGGGGAUAAAGUUGGGGACGUGUCCCUUUUGCAGUACCGCAUGA
rnacentral:rRNA from 1 species